rnacentral:rRNA from 1 species
AGUGAACGCUGGCGGUAGGCCUAACACAUGCAAGUCGAACGGCAGCACAGUAAGAGCUUGCUCUUACGGGUGGCGAGUGGCGGACGGGUGAGGAAUACAUCGGAAUCUACUUUUUCGUGGGGGAUAACGUAGGGAAACUUACGCUAAUACCGCAUACGACCUACGGGUGAAAGCAGGGGAUCUUCGGACCUUGCGCGAUUGAAUGAGCCGAUGUCGGAUUAGCUAGUUGGCGGGGUAAAGGCCCACCAAGGCGACGAUCCGUAGCUGGUCUGAGAGGAUGAUCAGCCACACUGGAACUGAGACACGGUCCAGACUCCUACGGGCGGCAGCAGUGGGGAAUAUUGGACAAUGGGCGCAAGCCUGAUCCAGCCAUACCGCGUGGGUGAAGAAGGCCUUUGGGUUGUAAAGCCCUUUUGUUGGGAAAGAAAAGCAGCAGGUUAAUACCCCGCUGUUCUGACGGUACCCAAAGAAUAAGCACCGGCUAACUUCGUG